rnacentral:rRNA from 1 species
GUUUGAUCCUGGCUCAGGAUGAACGCUGGCGGCGUGCUUAACACAUGCAAGUCGAACGAAGCGUAUUCAAGUGAAGUUUUCGGACAAAGCGAGGAUAUGACUUAGUGGCGGACGGGUGAGUAACGCGUGGGCAACCUGCCUUUCACAGCGGGAUAACAGAGGGAAGCUUCUGCUAAUACCGCAUAUACCUUUAUAACGCAUGUUAGGGAGGGGAAAGAGCUAUCGGUGAGAGAUGGGCCCGCGUCCGAUUAGAUAGUUGGUGGGGUAACAGCCUACCAAGUCGACGAUCGGUAGCCGGCUUGAGAGAGUGAACGGCCACAUUGGGACUGAGACACGGCCCAAACUCCUACGGGAGGCAGCAGUGGGGGAUAUUGGACAAUGGGGGCAACCCUGAUCCAGCGACGCCGCGUGAGUGAAGAAGUAUUUCGGUACGUAAAGCUCUAUCAGCAGGGAAGAAAGAAGACGGUACCUGACUAAGAAGCCCCGGCUAACUACGUGCCAGCAGCCGCGGUAAUACGUAGGGGGCAAGCGUUAUCCGGAAUUACUGGGUGUAAAGGGAGCGUAGACGGUUAAACAAGUCUGAAGUGAAAUGCCGGGGCUCAACCUCGGAGCUGCUUUGGAAACUGUAGAACUGGAGUGUCGGAGGGGUAAGCGGAAUUCCCAGUGUAGCGGUGAAAUGCGUAGAUAUUGGGAGGAACACCGGCGGCGAAGGCGGCUUACUGGACGACAACUGACGUUGAGGCUCGAAGGCGUGGGUAGCAAACAGGAUUAGAUACCCUGGUAGUCCACGCAGUAAACGAUGAAUACUAGGUGUCGGGUGGCAAAGCCAUUCGGUGCCGGCGCAAACGCAAUAAGUAUUCCACCUGGGGAGUACGUUCGCAAGAAUGAAACUCAAAGGAAUUGACGGGGACCCGCACAAGCGGUGGAGCAUGU